GAGGGGCAGCUGGUGGAGUCUGGGGGAGGCCUGGUCCAGCCUGGGGGUUCACUGAGACUCUCCUGCACAGCCUCUGGAUUCACCUUCAAAAAAUAUUCUAUGUACUGGAUCCGCCAGGCUCCAGGGAAGGGGCUGGAGUGGGU